AUUCGCGGCCUAUCAGCUUGUUGGUGGGGUAACGGCCUACCAAGGCAGCGACGGGUAGCUGGAUUGAGAGAUCGAUCAGCCACACUGGGACUGAGACACGGCCCAGACUCCUACGGGAGGCAGCAGUGGGGAAUCUUGCGCAAUGGGCGAAAGCCUGACGCAGCAACGCCGCGUGCGGGAUGACGGCCUUCGUGGUUGUAAACCGCUUUCAGCAGGGACGAAAAUGACGGUACCUGCAGAAGAAGCUCCGGCUAACUACGUGCCAGCAGCCGCGGUAAUACGUAGGGGGCAAGCGUUGUCCGGAAUCAUUGGGCGUAAAGAGCUCGUAGGCGGUUCAGUAAGUCGGGUGUGAAAGCUCCGAGCUCAACUCGGAGAGGCCACUCGAUACUGCUAUGACUAGAAUCCAGUAGGGGAGUGUGGAAUUCCUGGUGUAGCGGUGAAAUGCGCAGAUAUCAGGAGGAACACCAGCGGCGAAGGCGGCACUCUGGGCUAGUAUUGACGCUGAGGAGCGAAAGUGUGGGUAGCAAACAGGAUUAGAUACCCUGGUAGUCCACACCGUAAACGUUGGGCACUAGGUGUGGGGAGGAUCAACCCUUUCCGUGCCGUAGCUAACGCAUUAAGUGCCCCGCCUGGGGAGUACGGAAUCGUCGACAGCAGGC
rnacentral:rRNA from 1 species